ACUCCUACGGGAGGCAGCAGUGGGGAAGUAUUCACAAGGGCGGCAAGCCUGAUGCAGCCAUGCCGCGUGUGUGAAGAAGGCCUUCGGGUUGUAAAAGCACUUUCAGUCGUGAGGAAGGUGGUGUAGUUAAUAGCUGCAUUAUUUGACGUUAGCGACAGAAGAAGCACCGGCUAACUCCGUGCCAGCAGCCGCGGUAAUACGGAGGGUGCGAGCGUUAAUCGGAAUUACUGGGCGUAAAGCGCAUGCAGGUGGUUUGUUAAGUCAGAUGUGAAAGCCCGGGCUCAAGCCU
rnacentral:rRNA from 1 species